UAUAUAAGAGCAGUGCAACUCCGAAAAGGACAUAGACUCUACAGCACCUGAUACACUGAGGACCAUCUCUGGAAACGUAGACCAGGGCAGACCAUCAACAGCUCUUCAAGCCUCCUGCAGUAUUUUACUCUCAGGACACCUCACCUGCUCUCCAAUAUAAUGUAUCUUCUGGGACUCUGUACACUGGCCCUGCUGGCCUCCACCAUCGCACAGAAUCUUUCAACAAUAGCUUAUCUCACUCCUACAAUCGCUGUUUCUGCUCCUACAAUCACUGGUUCUGCUCCUACAAGCGCUGGUUCUGUUGCUCCUACAAGCGCUGGUUCUGUUGCUCCUACAAGCGCUGGUCCUGUUGCUCCUACAAGCGCUGGUCCUGUUGCUCCUACAAGCGCUGGUCCUGUUGCUCCUACAAGCGCUGGUCCUGUUGCUCCUACAAGCGCUGGUCCUGUUGCUCCUACAAGCGCUGGUCCUGUUGCUCCUACAAGCGCUGGUCCUGUUGCUCCUACAAGCGCUGGUCCUGUUGCUCCUACAAGCGCUGGUCCUGUUGCUCCUACAAGCGCUGGUCCUAUUGCUCCUACAAGCGCUGGUCCUGCUCAUGCAACACCAGCAACUGUCCAAUCUUCCAAACCAAGUGGCAGCCCAGCAACCGGAGCGUCUCUGUUGUGUUCUGUGGUGAUUCUUCUGCUCUACAGCCUGUAGUACUAAGUGGUGAACCCCCUCUGGCCUGGAGUUUGUAUUGUUCAGGACUAUAUAGACUGAGUGGCUAUGAAUGACCCCAGAGCCAAUGAACAAAGCAAAUAUGUAUCUGGAAGAAUGGAUUUUCCUCUACUAGAACACCAGUCAUUGAUGUUUCAUGUUAGAGGUUAAUCUUUGUAUAUGGACACGUUAUGAGAGAAGCAAAUUCUUCUUAAAUUUGAAUUUGGGUGGGUGGAUUGGAGGGGAGAAGGGGUGGAGGGAGGGGUUGGGGUUGUACUGUUUUUCUGUUCUCAUAUCUGAAAAUCUAUAAAGAAAGUACAACAAAAAGCAUUUGUUGUAAACCGUCACCAAUGGGUAAAAACCUUUGGGCCAAGAGAUAUUGGUUGUGUUUUGAACACUGACAGUUUUACGAACUUGAUUCCACUGCCCUUUUAGACUUAUUCUUGUCCGUUUGUUUGAUUAAAUUGAAAUGCACUGAUUAGAGGGAAUGAGUUCAUAUUGUAGACAAUACACUUGAUUGUAAUCCAAUUUCUAUGUUAAUAAAUGCAUGUAUGGAAGUACAAUCAGUAAAAUAAAAUAAUAGAAUGUGUGACUACUUACAUAUUAAGCAUUAGGAGCAUUAGCAAUAGAACAAAGUUGUAUUUUCUUGUGUUACUGUGUAAGAUGGAGACAUAACCCAAUGCUGAGGUAGGAUCUGAAUUUGAUCACCCUGGUGCAGGAGAACUUUCCUGCAUUGCAGGAUAUUUUAAACAUUUCUUUUGUAGUGUAUUUUAGUUCAAAAGGGUCAGAAUGUGUCAUUGCCACUUUUACAUUUCAGAUGUGAUUUUCCCUUACAAAAAAUGCACAUAAUAAAUAACAUUUCCUGUUGCUGCAGGAUUAUUUUCCUGCUGUAGCAAACUGGAUCAAAUUACGAUCCUACAUCUGUGUAUGUGAAGGCUGAGCUAGUGUGAAAUUGUACACAAAACUUAAUCCUUUAGUCUUCGUAUCGACAGAUAGCCAGCAACGCUUUGAGGAUGAUCCCCUCUGAAUUUGUCCUGUUGAAAAACAGUGGCCAUUUUUCAAAAAAUUCAACGGAUUUUGAAAGACUGUUAGUUAUACUGCUUGGUUGAGGUGGAUAGUUUCAUUGACAUGUAUUCCUACUGUAUUCGUUACAGGAAAUAAAUGCAUGGCUUUUUUUCAUCCCUCCAACA